rnacentral:rRNA from 1 species
CACGAGGAUCAAUUGGAGGGCAAGUCUGGUGCCAGCAGCCGCGGUAACUCCAGCUCCAAUAGCGUAUAUUAAAGUUGCUGCAGUUAAAAAGCUCGUAGUUGGAUCUCGGUAGCAUUGUUGCCUGCUCAGUUGUCAUGCUCUGCGGCGUGCAUCACAUCGUGCUUGCUUGCAUUAUCCACGCUCUCUCAUGGGCUGGGUGUGUGGGCAUCGCGGUGGGUGUACACUUAAACCGUAGUGUAUUGAGCUGGCGUGGCGAUGGUGUCACCUUUGAGCCAUGUCUGUGGUUUAACAGCCACAGGUGUAAUCGAGUGUCGGGCAGUGCUCUGCACCUGUUGUGGGGCCUAGCCGGCUCGUUUGCAUGCCAAUGAAUGCCCUUCAAAAGGUGUUCAUGGGCGGAUGGCACGUUUACUUUGAACAAAUUUGAGUGCUCAAAUCAGGCCGAUGUCGCCUGAAAAGUUUUGCAUGGAAUAAUGGAAUAGGACUUCGGUUCUAUUUCGUUGGUUUUCGGAUCCGAAGUAAUGAUCAAAAGAGACAGGCGGGGACGUUUGUAUGGCUGCGUUAGAGGUGAAAUUCAUGGAUCGUAGCCAGACAGACUAAAGCGAAAGCAUUCGUCAAGCAUGUUUUCAUUGGCCAUGAGCGAAAGUCA